AGAGCGAACGCUGGCGGCAGGCCUAAUACAUGCAAGUCGAACGGACCCUUCGGGGUUAGUGGCGGACGGGUGAGUAACACGUGGGAACGUGCCCUUUGGUUCGGAACAACUCAGGGAAACUUGAGCUAAUACCGAAUGUGCCCCCAUCCUUAAACAAGAUGGGUGGGAAAGAUUUAUCGCCAUUGGAGCGGCCCGCGUCUGAUUAGCUAGUUGGUGAGGUAAAGGCUCACCAAGGCGACGAUCAGUAGCUGGUCUGAGAGGAUGAUCAGCCACACUGGGACUGAGACACGGCCCAGACUCCUACGGGAGGCAGCAGUAGGGAAUCUUGCGCAAUGGGCGAAAGCCUGACGCAGCCAUGCCGCGUGAAUGAUGAAGGUCUUAGGAUUGUAAAAUUCUUUCAGCGGGACGAUAAUGACGGUACCGCAGAAGAACGCCCCGGACAACUACGCGCCAGCAGCCGC
rnacentral:rRNA from 1 species